rnacentral:misc_RNA from 1 species
ACCUCAGAUAUCCACAGAUAUUCGUGUGGCAAGGACGCGUUUGGAUCGUGUGUGUAAUUUUCUCCGUGGCGAAAUUUACAAACACGUCAAAGUUUUAAAGCAGAACUAUGCCACAAAAAUAUAAAAGAGAGGAAGGAAUGCGAGCUCGAGUAUGUUCUUGGACUAUAGAAAACCUACAGUCAGCUUUCGAUGAGAAAGUAUGAUUGUGCAAUGUGCAUGUUGACACUUGAUAUGAAUAUUU